AUUCAUCAAUCGAAUCGGAACAUAUACUUACUAGCAUUUUUUAAGUUUCAGCGAUAUAACCAUACAUAAUUUUACAGCGAUGGAACGACGUGAGGUCAAAAUUCCAGAGGAAAAGAUACGGCUGCUUUGCGAAUUGCACGGCGAAUAUGAAAGACAUCAUGAACGCAUUGUGAAAAGUAUUCAAGAAGAUUUGCGGCAACAAGAGCAUGAGAUAAAACGACAAUUGGUUGCAGAAAAACGGAAAAAACGCAAAAAUAAAAGCUGAUUCUCACCACAAAUUCAUGUGAAAAUAUCGAAAAAUGUAGUGAAAUAAAGUUUAUACAUAUAUUUUGUGUAAAUCAUAAAUAAAUUUA